UACGAAGGGGGCUAGCGUUGCUCGGAAUUACUGGGCGUAAAGAGCUCGUAGGCGGUUGGGUAAGUCGGGUGUGAAAACUCCAGGCUCAACUUGGAGCCUGCAUCCGAAACUGCUGUGACUAGAGUCAGGUAGGGGAACACGGAAUUCCAGGUGUAGCGGUGAAAUGCUUAGAUAUCUGGAGGAACACCAGUGGCGAAGGCGGUGUUCUGGGCCUGUACUGACGCUGAGGCGCGAAAGCGUGGGGAGCGAACAGG
rnacentral:rRNA from 1 species